UUUUACCAGAUAUAAAAUGUACAGUUUUGGUUUUUCCAUUUUUACUUAACUCUUAGUUUGAAGAUGUUUAUAAUCUUCAACAUUGUUUUCUUGCAGUCAGAAGAAUACAAAUAUUGCAGAGUCGUCUUUGAUCGGAAUGCACGUGAUUUUACAAGUAAAUUUGCUUUACAAAACACAGAGAAAAAGAAAAAAAAUUGAAUUUUACAAACAUAAACAAGGAUAACUACCUUAAGAACGACAUAGUAUUGAUACAUGGGGACUUUGAAGAUUGUGGACAUAGUUUUAAUUUACUGUAAAAUAUUGUCUGAUAAGUUGUAUUGUUUUAUAGUUAAGCCUCAUCUUUGAACAUUUUGAUUUUGAUGAUCUGUAUUGAAAUAAACUUAAAAAUUCAUGUAAUUAUCAAUUAAGAUUUCUGAUCAUAGUCUUUUUGAUGCACAAUAAAAUUAUAAUUCUUUUGUACAUAUUGUCUUGGUACAGAAUAAAUUGAUUUUAAAAUUU